UUAGAAAUUAAUUCAUCUACCCAAAGAUAUUGGGCCAUCUCACUAAACCAAAUCAGCAGCCCAAUAUCCCCCUCAACCGCCCCAGCCCAAUUCUCGCCGACCCGGCCCAAAACCACCUAAAAAUCAGCCUAACCAAACAAAAUCCCUAACUCUUUUUCCAUCCCAACCAAACGAUCCCCUAACUCCUUUCCCCUUCAACCAACAGCUAACCAAACGACGCCGCCAUCCCACCCCGUCACGUCACUUCCAUCACCUCGUCAGCACUACCACGCCGUCGGACCGCUGGGUUAACGUGGUCAGCGACGCCACUGACCUCACAAGUCACCUUUUCUCCCAUCACCCAUCUCCCUUUUUCUGAAAUAAAGCUUGACGACUCGUAAAAAGGUCGAUUGAGACCUCUGAGAACGGGAAAAGGCGAAUCCACAGCCAUCAAACCCACCUGAAAAGGAACCUUGGAAGCAUUUGGAGUUAUGGCAACUCCGGAUUCUGCCCAUAUCAGAGAACAGCCAGUUGCAGGAUUUAAUUGCUCGUGUCUAGCGUCCCCGUCUUCCUUCCUCUCUUUAAAUUUCGUGUCUUCGUGUUAUCAUGUACACACAUGUUUAUAUUCUUGACUAACAUUUUUUAUGGAUUGUAUUUGUAGCACAUUUAUUUCUCGCUUGUGUAGGAACUUAUGGAAAAUAGUUAGUAUGAUGGUAAAUUUAGUCA